GCUUUUCCAAAUGAAUCUAUUAACAGAUUCCACUAGUAAUUGUGAAAUUAUUCAAUUUGGUAUCCACCUAGAAAUAUCAUAUGAGAAAACUAACCCACUUUCAUUAAAUUCCAAAAAGUAUAGCAUACCAUAAAACCAUCUCUUUCAGGCAUUUUACUGAACGCUUUCCCAGCAUUUUAACCUGACACAUGAACAAAUUGUAAUCGCACUACCUACAUAAAAACCACAUAAAUGGCCAUUUAAAUCUCACUACCUACAUAUACCACAUAAAAAGGCCAUUUAAUAGUCAAGCUACUUUGCCAUUUAACCUCUUGUUUCAUGGAGAAUCUCAUCUUAACCAACUCUCUUACUAGCUUUUGCCAAAUUUGGUCCUCUAAAAAAAUAUGCCCACAAAUUAUUUGACACGGUUGAGUGAAAAAUUUAUUUGUUGGACUUCUAUGAUCUCUGGUUAUUCUUAGUUGGACCUCUAUGGUUAUUCUCAUCAACACAAAAAACCUUUCCGCUUGUUGUAUUUGCACAGUGUACAAGAACAUGGAAUUCUACCUCUUAUAAUCUACAAAAGAUGGUUUUGUUUAUUUUUUUGGUCAAUAUAUCUCAUACAGAGCGCAAAGAGUGGCACUUGUCAUCACCUCCCAAUCAAAUGCAAUUUCUAUUGGUCCUUUUGGCCAAGAAUACGGAGACUAUUCUAUAAUGCAUGUAGGCUUUUCUUGUUGACU
rnacentral:lncRNA from 1 species